CACAUAAUCAGCACUCAGUGCAUAUCUGUUCAAUGGUGAAAAGAUGAAUAUGUUUGAGUCUAACUUUGAGGCAGGGACAUCUCAAGUAAGAACCUAAAAGUGUAGAGGAAAAAUUAUUUUUAUUCUCCUACAAUUUCAAAAUCGGCGUUUGUUGUCAGACUUGUCAUCUUGCUACUGGUAUAUUAGUGUCUAUGUCUCAUGAAUUUCCCCACAGUGGUUUAUCAC
rnacentral:lncRNA from 1 species